ACAUCGGUGACAGGUGGUGCAUGUUGUCGUCAGCUCGUGUCGUGAGAUGUUGGGUUAAGUCCCGCAACGAGCGCAACCCCUAUUGUUAGUUGCCAUCAUUCAGUUGGGCACUCUAGCGAGACUGCCGGUAAUAAACCGGAGGAAGGUGGGGAUGACGUCAAAUCAUCAUGCCCCUUAUGACCUGGGCUACACACGUGCUACAAUGGUUGGUACAACGAGUUGCGAGUCGGUGACGGCGAGCUAAUCUCUUAAAGCCAAUCUCAGUUCGGAUUGUAGGCUGCAACUCGCCUACAUGAAGUCGGAAUCGCUAGUAAUCGCGGAUCAGCACGCCGCGGUGAAUACGUUCCCGGGCCUU
rnacentral:rRNA from 1 species